rnacentral:rRNA from 1 species
UACGUAGGGUGCGAGCGUUGUCCGGAAUUAUUGGGCGUAAAGAGCGUGUAGGCGGCCAGAAAAGUCCGCUGUGAAAACUCGAGGCUCAACUUCGAGCUGUCGGUGGAAACUUUCUGGCUAGAGUCCGGAAGAGGAGAAUGGAAUUCCUGGUGUAGCGGUGAAAUGCGCAGAUAUCAGGAGGAACACCGGUGGCGAAGGCGGUUCUCUGGGCAUUACCUGACGCUGAGGAGCGAAAGUGUGGGGAGCGAACAGG